GAUUAUAAAGCGUUGCAGUUCAUUGUUACUGAAUAGAAGAUUAUUUUUUUAUUU
rnacentral:tRNA from 1 species